UAGAGUUUGAUCCUGGCUCAGAUUAAACGCUGGCGGCAUGGCUAAAGCAUGCAAGUCGAACGAGAACCCACCUUCGGGUGGGGGACAGUGGCGAAAGGGCGAGUAAUGCGCUUCUUAUGUACCCUGAGGUGGGGGACAGGUCGGGGAAACCCGGCGUAAUACCCCAUAAGCUCUCCGGAGGAAAGGCUUCGGCCGCCUUAGGAGCAGGAAGCGUCCUAUCAGGUAGUUGGUGUGGUAAUGGCGCACCAAGCCUCAGACGGGUAGCGGGUGUGAGAGCAUGACCCGCCGCAUCGGGACUGAGACACUGCCCGGACUCCUACGGGAGGCUGCAGCGACGAAUCUUCCGCAAUGCGCGAAAGCGUGACGGAGCAAUGCCGCGUGUGGGAUGAAGCAGCUUUGCUGUGUAAACCACUGUCAGGGGCUAGAAAUAUUGAUCAACCCCAAAGGAAGGGCCGGCUAACCUCGUGCCAGCAGCCGCGGUAAGACGAGGGGCCCGAGCGUUAUUCGGAAUCACUGGGCUUAAAGGGUGCGUAGGCGGAUGCGCAAGCGUCUCGUGAAAUACCUCGGCUCAACCGAGGAAUUGCGGGGCGAACUGCGUGUCUUGAGACAGGUAGGGGCCGUCGGAACGCUAGGUGGAGCGGUGAAAUGCAUAGAUAUCUAGCGGAACGCCGAAGGAGAAGUCGGGCGGCUGGGCCUGUUCUGACGCUGAGGCACGAAAGCGUGGGGAGCGAACGGGAUUAGAUACCCCGGUAGUCCACGCCCUAAACAAUGCGCACUAGACCGAGGCGGUUUCGACGCCGUCUCGGUCGUAGAGAAAUCAUUAAGUGCGCCGCCUGGGGAGUACGGUCGCAAGGCUAAAACUCAAAGGAAUUGACGGGGGCUCACACAAGCGGUGGAGCAUGUUGCUUAAUUCGAAGCAACGCGAAGAACCUUACCUGGGUUUGACAUGCACGGAUUAGCUCUUGGAAACAGGAGUGACGCCUUCGGGUGGAACGUGCACAGGUGCUGCAUGGCUGUCGUCAGCUCGUGCUGUGAAGUGUCGGGUUAAGUCCCUUAACGAGCGCAACCCCUAUCGCUAGUUGCCAUCACUUCGGGUGGGGACUCUAGCGAGACUGCCGGUGUUAAACCGGAGGAAGGUGGGGAUGACGUCAAGUCCUCAUGGCCUUUAUACCCAGGGUUGCAAACGUGCUACAAUGGCGUGUACAGAGCGAAGCAAGCCCGCGAGGGGGAGCAAAUCGCAAAAAGCACGCCCCAGUUCGGAUUGGAGUCUGCAACCCGACUCCAUGAAGUUGGAAUCGCUAGUAAUCGGAGAUCAGCUACGCUCCGGUGAAUACGUUCCUGAGCCUUGUACACACCGCCCGUCAAGUCAUGGAAGCCGGGAGCGCCCGAAGCCGUCGCGAUUCAGCGACGACCACGGCGAGUUCGGUGACUGGGACUAAGUCGUAACAAGGUAACC
rnacentral:rRNA from 1 species